UACAUGUCUGGAAAUGUCUUUAUUCCACAGUUAUCCUUUAUUUGGCUAAGUAUAGAAUGCCAGGAUAAAAAUAAUUUUCACUCAGAACUUUGGGUGCCCAACACUACUCUCCUCCUGAACUGCUGUUGUAUUCCUUCAUACACGACCGAGUCUCACUCUGUCACCUAGGCUGGAGUGCAGUGGCAUGAUCAUAGCUCACUGUAGCCUCAAACUCCUGGACUGAAGUGAUCCUUUUGCCUCAGCUUCCGAAAGUGCUGGGAUUUCAGUGACUCCACACCCACGGAAGGAGAGGGGGAUGAAGAAACCUGCCAGGAAGGUGCCUCCCGCCAGUAUCUGAUGAAGGUAAGAGGUAAGAGGCUGCCCGUUUACUGCUUGUGCCUUCCAGGGAAGUUUCUUCCCCAGGGUUACCACCCGUUUCAGGAGGCGUCUCUGGGCUAGGCUUCCUGGCAGCAGAGGCUCUCUGGCAUUGGGGCUGCUGAGGGUAUGUAGUGAAGGCCCUUGGCUUGGAAAUCUUCACCUUAGACUCAUUAAGAAUUUUUUCCAAGGAAUCCUCAUCGGGUGUGUUCCAAUGGCUCCCACCAGAUCCCAAUCAGGCCCAAACUUUUUUGCCAGUCCUCUCAAUCCAGACCCACUGAGCUCCAGUUACAUAGAACCACCUGCGAUUUCCUUGAACAUGUUAUGCAUUUUCAUGCUUCUGUGACUACUUUGCAUAUGCUGGUUCCUUUGCCUGGAGUGCCUCCUGUCACUUCUCUUCUUAAAGAACUCCUAUUCAUCCUUCAAGACCCUACUCAAAAGUCAGGUUCUUUUUCAAAGCCUCGCUUGACUUCCCAGACAGGGUUGGAUGCUCUGUGCUCCAGGUACAGGGUUCCUUCCCUGGCUCCUCUCGGAUUAGGGUAAUUAUUAGCAUUUGCAUGUUUAUCUUCCUUCUAGUUCCUCCAGAGCAGGGCCUGUCACUCACCUUGCAAAUGUGUACAGCACAGUGCCAGGCCCUAGUCAUUCCUCAGCCAAUAUUUGUGGAAGGAUAAACGCAAUUUCUUCUGGAUUUGUUGUAUUUUUGAGUAGA